UAUCAAUAGAGGAUGGGUGAUAGCCAUGCUACUUGGGAUCUCUGUUCUUACAGAAUCACAGAAAAUGAUGGCUGGACUGGACCUCAGGAGGUCACAUCUCGUCCAACCCCGUGUUCCAGCUUUCCUUACCCACGCUGUGAGACUCAAGUUCGACACUACUGAAUGCAAAUGAGUGCCCUCACUACUGUAGGUGUGCCUACAGGACAUAUGCUGAAGUUAUUUACCUGAGCCAAGAAGAAGAAAUGAGAACUAGGCAGCAUGUUUGUGCAUAUGAAGCAGUCAAGGAAAACUAAGGCAGGAGCUAUCAACUAUGAAUAUGAGCUGGCAGUGCGAUGCUGUAGCCAGUAGGGCAAAUAAUACUCUGGCAUGGAUUAAUUGAUGCAUCUCCAGCAAAACCAAAGAGCAGAUUCUUCUGCUGUACUCAGCAGAACUGCAGCUGGAGUACUGCAUCCAGUUCUGGGCACCAUACUUUUAACAAGGACAUGAACAAACUUGAGAGAGUCCAAAGAAGAGCCACCCGUAUGAUCAAAGUCUUAAAAGGCAAGCCAUACAAGAAAAGACUGAGGGAUCUGGGACUUCUCAGCCUGAGGAAAAGAAGGCUGAGAGGGGAUUUGGUAGCAGCUUACUGCUACACUAGGGGAGUACAUCAAGGGCUUGGUGAGCAACUGUUCACCAGGACACCAGAAGGGAAAACCAGAGUAAUGGCCAUGAACUCCUGGAAGAUUGAUUCAGGCUUAACAUUAGGAAAAACUUCUUCACAGCCAGUGUGUCCAGACUGUGGAAUAAGCUCCCUCUAGAAAUGGUGCAGUAACCUACCUGGGAAAUCUUCAAGAGGAGACUAGACAGUCACCUUGCUGGAGUCACCUGAUCCCCAGUUAUCUUUCCUGCUUGGUGCAGUGGGCUGGACCUGAUGAUCUUCCAAGGUCCCUUCCAGCCAUACAAUCUAUGAAUCUAUGAACCAAGACAAGAAUUGUCCAGCUGUUCAGAUACCAUGAGGCCAGACCUGGUAUAAGAAACAGCUCUCCUGAUCCUAGAAGACUUGCACUGCAGCUUAACUUGCAGCAUGAAAGUAAAUUCCAUUUAAAAGUCACUGGGCCUGCACAUUUGUGUGCAGUUAAGCAUGUGUUUGAAUUGUUUUAUGCAUUUAAACUACAGUGAUUUCCUCCUCCUCACAUCAUUUAAGGUAGGGAUAGCCUUUGAUAGCUCACCUCUUCACUGCUGUGUUCCUACUGGCUUUCCCCCACAAUGAAUGCACAUUCCUACUCCCUUGGCAAACCAACCACCACAAUAGGAGGACUAAAGAGGUCUGACCAACAAUAAGCUAAAGGCAGGAAAGGGAGCGAGCCAUGCAGUGACAUCUCCCUGAUACUACUCUGUCAGAGCAGCAUUUAAAUAGAAUGGCUUAUGCUGCCUUUUUAGCUAUUUUCAAUCAUCUGCUUUUUUUCUUUUCUACUUUUGUGCUUUCUUUUCUCUUACAUAAGAGGCAGUCAAUCCCAGUUUCCCUCUAGAUUCCAGGAGCAAACAAUAAAAUCAAAAUUGAACCUGGGCACAGGAAAUGAAAAUAUUUGUAGCAGUACACAAUAAAAUCAGGUAAUCAUUUA